rnacentral:tRNA from 1 species
CAAAAUAUAGUUUAAUAAAAAUUCUAAUUUUGGGAAUUAGUAAUACUGUUUUCAGUUAUUUUGA